AGCGUAGGCGGGUAUGCAAGUUGAAUGUGAAAUCUAUCGGCUCAACCGAUAGGCUGCGUUCAAAACUGUAUAUCUUGAGUGAAGUAGAGGUAGGCGGAAUUCCUGGUGUAGCGGUGAAAUGCGUAGAUAUCAGGAGGAACACCGGUGGCGAAGGCGGCCUGCUGGGCUUUUACUGACGCUGAGGCUCGAAAGCAUGGGUAGCAAACAG
rnacentral:rRNA from 1 species